CCGGCUUUCCCUGCCGGUCUCUCUCUGACGUUGGUUUUAACCGGCUGGCGUCAGUGGGCUGGCGAGUUUACUUUGAACAAAUCAGAGUGCUUCAAACAGGCGUCUCGCCUGAAUGUUCGUGCAUGGAAUAAUAGAAGAGGAUCACGGUCCGAUUUUAUUGGUUUUGCUGACCGAGAUAAUGGUUAACAGAGACAAACGGGGCCAUUCGUAUUGCUACGUGAGAGGUGAAAUUCUUGGACCGUAGCAAGACGGACUACAGCGAAAGCAUUUGGCAAGAAUGUCUUCAUUAAUCAAGAACGAAAGUCAGAGGUUCGAAGGCGAUCAGAUACCGCCCUAGUUCUGACCGUAAACGAUGCCAACUAGCGAUCCGCCGGCGGAUUCAUUCGCCCUGGUGGGGAGCUUCCCGGAAACGAAAGUCUUCCGGUUCCGGGGGAAGUAUGGUUGCAAAGCUGAAACUUAAAGGAAUUGACGGAAGGGCACCACCAGGAGUGGAGCCUGCGGCUUAAUUUGACUCAACACGGGGAAACUCACCCGGCCCGGACACCGUAAGGAUUGACAGAUUGAUAGCUUUUUCAUGAUUCGGUGGAUGGUGGUGCAUGGCCGUUCUUAGUUCGUGGAGCGAUUUGUCUGGUUUAUUCCGAUAACGAGCGAGACUCUGGCCUACUAAAUAGUUGGCACAUUGCCACUGUGUGCCCAACUUCUUAGAGGGAUUUUCGGUGUUCAGCCGCACGAAAUUGAGCAAUAACAGGUCUGUGAUGCCCUUAGAUGUCCGGGGCUGCACGCGCGCUACACUGGCAAAAUCAGCGUGCUUGUCCUCCCCCGAAAGGGGUUGGUAAACCGAUGAAAAUUUGCCGUGAUUGGGAUCGGACAUUGCAAUUAUUGUCCGUGAACGAGGAAUCCCUUGUAAGGGCGAGUCAUCAACUCGUCCUGAAUACGUCCCUGCCCUUUGUACACACCGCCCGUCGCUGCCCGGGACUGAGCCAUUUCGAGAAAACCGGGGAUUGUUGGCCUGACGGCUCUCGGGUCGUCUAGCCGAUGAGAACCGGCUUAAUCGCACUGGUUUGAACCGGGCAAAAGUCGUAACAAGGUAGCUGUAGGUGAACCUGCUGCUG
rnacentral:rRNA from 1 species